UUGACACAGAAUCUUGCUUGCAACAAGCCAUAAAUUUUGCUGCAAAACUUUGGGGUCUUGAGUGCCUUUUUUGAGAUAAUCAGGGGAUAUCAUGCCUCCUAAUGGAGUGAUGGUUGCUAUGGAAAUUUGCACUGCCUAAC